CAGCCUGCUAACUAGCUACGUG
rnacentral:siRNA from 1 species